UACGGAGGGGGCGAGCGUUGUUCGGAAUCAUUGGGCGUAAAGGGCGCGUAGGCGGCCGAUCAAGUCGGAUGUGAAAUCCCUCGGCUCAACCGAGGAACUGCACUCGAUACUGGUUGGCUAGAGUCCGGGAGGGGAUAGCGGAAUUCCCAGUGUAGCGGUGAAAUGCGUAGAUAUCUGGAGGAACACCGGUGGCGAAGGCGGCAUCCUGGACCAACACUGACGCUGAGGAACGAAAGCCAGGGGAGCAAACGGG
rnacentral:rRNA from 1 species